rnacentral:pre_miRNA from 1 species
CAAGUACUCCCUCCGUCCGGAAUUACUUGUCAUCAAAAUGGAUGUGUCUAGAACUAAAAUACAUCUAGAUACAUCCAUUUCAAUGACAAGUAUUUCCAAACGAAGGGAGUAAAAG